UGGGGAAUCUUGCGCAAUGGGCGAAAGCCUGACGCAGCCAUGCCGCGUGAAUGAUGAAGGUCUUAGGAUUGUAAAAUUCUUUCACCGGGGACGAUAAUGACGGUACCCGGAGAAGAAGCCCCGGCUAACUUCGUGCCAGCAGCCGCGGUAAUACGAAGGGGGCUAGCGUUGCUCGGAAUUACUGGGCGUAAAGGGCGCGUAGGCGGAUCGUUAAGUCAGAGGUGAAAUCCCAGGGCUCAACCCUGGAACUGCCUUUGAUACUGGCGAUCUUGAGUAUGAGAGAGGUAUGUGGAACUCCGAGUGUAGAGGUGAAGUUCGUAGAUAUUCGGAAGAACACCAGUGGCGAAGGCGACAUACUGGCUCAUUACUAACGCUAAAGCGCGAAAGCGUGGAGAGCAAACAGG
rnacentral:rRNA from 1 species